rnacentral:lncRNA from 1 species
UCCAUUGUUGCUGCUGAACAAAGAACAAAUAUUGAGUCUUGGAAGAGGCACAGCAUAGCACCCAGAUGUUAACCUAAACGGCCCACAAUUGAUCCCAAACAAAGGAAAAUGUACACUACCUAGAUCAGAACACUAUUAAACCAUAGAACUAACGUAACUUAUCACUGAACUUCCAAAGUUAACUAUUUCAGCAAAAAGAAAACAGAUAUUUUUUUUUGCAAACUCAAUACUGGGUAACCAAGUGGAUAGUCAUGCUUGAUAUUAAUUUUAGAGCUAAAAAGAAUUAACAUACAGUUCCUGAUUAUUUGAAACUAUGCUCAAAAUUUGUAACUGACAAUGUUUUAAAGAGUUUUCCCACCAUGUACACUUAUCAAGCCCCACAUAUGUGAAUCAACAUGACUUAGAAAUCAUCAUCCAACCUUAACAGUCCAUUUACAAAGAAAAUUAUCAACGGAGAUCAUAAGUGGUUUACUCCUGAAUCUUCCUGGUCCUACAUACAACAGUCAAUUUUGCAUCAUUUAUUUCAAAGCUACUUAGAUUCAGAGUCCAAAAUUGUAAACACCUAGUCUAGGAUUAAAUAGCAAAGAGCAAGUAUAACAUGAGAAACAGAUUAAUUGGAAAAUCUAGUCCAACUUUUGGUAAUGAAAAAAAACAUUGUAUUCACAAGUUUGCAGCUCAGUUAUACAGCAGUUUUGUUAUCCCAAUCCUCAUGUCAAAAAAAGGAAAAUACCUGGAAGAAGAAGAAGGUAAAGCAAAAGUGAGAACAACAGGUUCAGCAACAACAGAAGUAGAAAUCAACAAGAUCAACAACAAAUUGACCCUAGUGAAUCAGUUUUGAAACCAGAAAUGCUUUAAAUAUCAUCACAGUCUUGCUCGAAUACAACCUAGAAAUCAAAAGAAAGCCUCGAAACCAAGCUCAAACCAUUCUUCUAAACUUCGAAGAGACCAGGGAUGCUUCAGGAGUAGGAAAAUUUAAGAUAACCUCGAUUAACCUCACUUCAAUAGUGACUCCUUUACCACACAACUUGAACCUAAAGCUUUCCUUCAAAAGAUCAAGUUAUUUUCAUUCACAGGAUUUUGUAUUCUGUAUUGUGAGUGAAAAAUGACUUAAAGCUUUUGGUAAAAAUGCAAUGGAAUAGUGUUUUAGAUCUCUGCCGCCAAAAACCUUUAGGGAAUUUUCAGCUUUCUAAAACUUGCCUCCAAAGGCAAGAACAGAAUGCCUUUAUAGGCAGGCAGAGUAGGUCAGCUUUUUUAAUUAAAUUGGCCCUUUUUACCCUUUAUACCCCUGAUCUACCUAGAUAUUUUACUCUCUUACCCAUCAACUCAAAAUAUCUGAUCUUCUCUCAUCCCUCACAUACAAAUCCCAACCUUAUCUUCUAUAACUGAAAAUAUUUUCCCCCUCCUCAGUUACCAAAACGACCAUCAACAGCCCUGUUUAUUACAUCUGAAAACUAGACCAACUUGGGUCGAGGGUCAAAUUGACCCGCCGGGUUAAUUCAAGAACCUGACUUGCAAGACCCAAUUGCAUCUCCUCCCUGGGCCUUAGAAUUCAUAGCCUAUAUGAGAUCAUUGGGCUGAACAUAAUUUCCCACAAGGGAGAAUUAGGCUUCUUUUCUCUUUAACAAAAAAACCUAAGCGAAUGAUAUUACACAAAGAGACUAAACGACAGGCCCGAACAAACUUGAUUUAAAAACAUUUAAACAGAUUAAUUAAAAUGAAAACAAACGGUCCAGAAGAAAUAAGAGGAGACGGAGACUAAAAAAGAAUAAACAAAAUAAGGAACACAACGAUGAAUGAAAAGAAACGGACUGAGACUUACCUAAAUCAAAUUGAAAAAACUUGAGAAUCUUUACAGGAAAUCCAAUUUUGAAUGGAAUAGGCCUUAACCGUAUGUUCCAAAUGAAAACACACGAAUAGAGCCAAUUCCGGCCUCAAUCCUUCAUGAAAUGCAACUGAUUUAGGGUUUGGGAUUUUAGGGUUCAAUCCUUUGAUUUAAAAUUUGACAAUUUCUAGGGGUAAUUUGAAGGGAAAUAAUGUUUGAUUUGGUGUGAGGGGGUUAUGGGGAUUAUGUGGUGUGGAUUUAGUGGUGAAAGGAGGUGGUGCCGUUGGGGAAAUUUGGAGGUUUUUAGGGCGGCUCAGCUAGGGUUCAGAUGUCUCUGAAGUGACAGGGUGAGCGAGACUAUGGAAAUGGGGCUGGGGGCUUCAGGAUAGUUAAAUACUGAUCAACCUUAGCUUCGGAGCCGUUGGAUCAUCCAACCUCACGGCUCAAAUUCAAUGAAGCGAAACGGCGUCGUUUAGGGUUUUGUAGGGAAGAAAGACCGGGAUGGAGUGGAUUUUGG